rnacentral:tRNA from 1 species
GGGGAAAUAGCUCAGUGGGAUAGAGUGCUGGCCUGUCACGCCAGAGGCCGCGGGUUCGAGCCCCGUUUUUCCCGCCCCC